AGAUAUGAGGGCGAUCUGGCUGUGACAUCUGUCACACCAUUGAUCACCAGAGUUAAUUUGGCUGAUCUGGCUGGCCAGGCGGGUGUCCUCUUCCUCCCUCACUGCUCCAUGGGCGUCCCUCCCGAAGCUGUACUCUUAGUCGAAGAGGACGACCUCCCCUGACAGAGGGGGACCAUUGCCUUGGUUAGGAUAUACGAGCAGCUGCGCUCUUCUGCUAGACCCUCCAAACAAGCUCUCAAGAGUGCUAGUGCCAUUGGUAAUUGAAGAAAAUACCAUCUUUCUCCAUUUCCUUCUCUUUCCCAAAACAGUAAUUCCAGGAUGUGG
rfam:Heterocephalus glaber contig200423, whole genome shotgun sequence.